rnacentral:lncRNA from 1 species
CAGCUCCCAAAUGAUAUUUUGGACUUGCUCAAAGUGUUAAUUUGCUGCUGUCAUGCUUCUAAAUUCAAAAAGAAUUAAAGUCCAAAAUGCACACAAGCCAAUUCUCACUAAUUCACUUUUUUUUUCAUUAAGCAUAAUUAAGACCUGGAUUAGUGUUUGGUAUAUAUAUUUAAUCCAUAACAGAAAUGCAGGGUUAAUCAUUUUUCUCUCACAAUCACAUUUGGCACAAACACACUUUUCAUCUAACAGAAGAUAACAGAAAAUUUUCUCUCCUCUCUCUCAUUUCUCACGAAGAGCUUCAUCACAAUUCUUGCCCAAAUUGAUGAAGACUUUGUGAACUUUGGCAAAAACUUUCGGUUGAUAAUCAUUUUGCAGGUUGAACAAGUUCUGUUGAUGAAGAACAAAGGGAAUUAGCUACCGAUUCGAGCGGCUGCAAAAAAACCUGCGAUUUCCAUAACAGUCCAAGAAGAUUGAUCAAUCGUAAGUGCUGGAGCUACAAGGACCGUCUCUCGCAUUUCCUGAAGCGAUUUGCCGCGUCUGUUCGUCAUCAUCAAAGCCAAAGUCCACCGAACUCGUCGUUGUUCAUCAAGAAAAGGUUGGAUUUCGCAUCAUGUGGUAGCUUCAAUCGAGUUAGGGAUUGUGUAGUACGUAGCUCAUAGAUAACGUAUCCAUUUGUGAUUUGUAAUUUCGUUAAAGAUUGAGGGAGAAAUCCGCGAUUUAGGUUUCGUCUCCAUUCGCCUUUUACAUAGAUAACGUAUCCAUUUGUGAUUUGUAAUUUCGUUAAAGAUUGAGGGAGAAAUCCGCGAUUUAGGUUUCGUCUCCAUUCGCCUUUUCCUUCGAUUCGCAUUAUGUAGUAAGCUAUUGUUGAAAUUGAUUAUGGAUUCAUGAUCCUGGUACAAAACCGCUUCAAUCGGUAUAUUAUUCAUGCGUUUCCGUCGCCAUUUGCUCGAAACCGCUAUCGCCGUUGAGGAACACUGGCCGCGCGAAGAAGAAGGACUUUCUGGAAAUUUCUGCAUGCUUUGAUCCGCUACCGUCUGCUUUUCGUUGUGGAUUCGUGUUUCAGUCCCCAGAAUCAAUCACCACCGUCCACCUCAUCUAUUUGAAACGGUGCCGUUUUAGGCAUUAGCUUAAGAAUUACCAGCUGAGCC